rnacentral:piRNA from 1 species
AGUAUGAAAUUUUGGAAAGUUGAU